CUGGCAGAUGAUACAAGCCCUUAUCACCUUGGUUUAGGGCUUUAAAGAUUAUACAUCUGAAGCUGUUUUCUUUGCGCUGUGGAUCUCUCACCUUGAAUGAUAAAGGUGGGAGUGUGAUCACUACCGAUUCUGUCUACUUGUGGAGGCAACGGCCAAAGUGUUCUCAGCCAUGUUUCCGUAAACCCAAGAAUACUGGUGCUGCUGGAACCAGAAUGUAUUGAGAGUUGCCUGCAGUGAUGCAUCAUCACCCCUUCUGUACAAGAAGUCCCAAAACUUUCACCCAAGGAGUCCUGGUGCCACUACUAUGCUGCCAUGGUUUCAUUGUUAUUCUACACAGGAUAUUUUGCUUUAUGAAGUUAUCUGUAUGCUGCUGGCGCACAAAGGCACUGGAGAGGAAGGAAGGAUGCAUAUAUUUUUUUUAAAAAAGUAUAACAUUAAAGAUGUCACUUUCAAGAAUAAUUUUUUUAGAUGCUAUCACUUGGCUUCUUGCCCUGUUUGUGCCAAAGUGAAGAUUGAAUGCUGUGUUAAAUCUAAGGCAUUAUUUUCGGGCUCUGGGUAAGAGGAUCUCAGUUCCAUAAGCACAUGUGUACUUGUGCUGUGGAGUGGUAGGUGAUUCCAUGCCAUCAGAAACAUGCACAUGAGUGAGUCAAGAUUCAGGUAAGAACAAAUACAAGAAUUGUUUGUUGUUUCUAAGUCACUAAGUCGUGUCUGACUCUUUGUGACCCCAUGAACCAGAGCACGCCAGG